UGGGGCCAGGGCACCAUGGUCACCGUCUCCUCGUUGUCCGCGGCCAGCCCCGUGGUCUUCCCACUGAGCCUUCCAAGCUCUGAGAGCGGCGAGCUCGUGGUCAUCGGCUGCCUGGUCCAGGGCUUCUUCCCGUCGGAGCCGCUGAACGUGACCUGGAACCAAGACGGGGACAAUGUGACCGUCAUAAACUAUCCGCUCACCGAGGCUGACUCUGAGGGCCUGUACACCACGACCAGCCAGCUGACACUGCCGGCCGACCAGUGCCCGGCUGGCACGUUCCUGCAGUGCCACGUGGAGCACAACUCGAACUUCAACAAGGAUGUGUCCGUGGCCUGCGUCAGCCCAGACCCACCUCCGUCCCCCUCCUGCUGCCAUCCCCAACUGUCACUGCACCCGCCGGCCCUCGAGGACCUGCUCCUGGGCUCAGACGCCAACCUCAAGUGCACACUGCGCGGCCUGGUGAACCCCGAGAACGCCACCUUCACCUGGCAGCCCUCCGAGGGGAAGAAGGCCGAGCUGGGGGAACCCGUGCGGGACUCCUGCGGCUGCUACAGUGUGUCCAGCGUCCUGCCCGGCUGCGCGGAGCCAUGGAACAGCGGGCAGACCUUCACGUGCAGCGCCACCCACCCUGAGUCCGAGACCACACUAACUGCCACCAUCGCCAAAGGCUCAGGGGACAACUUCCGGCCCCAGGUCCACCUGCUACCGCCGCCGUCGGAGGAGCUGGCCCUGAACGAGCUGGUGACGCUGACGUGCCUGGUGCGCGGCUUCAGCCCCGAGCAGGUGCUGGUGCGCUGGCUGCACGGGUCCCAGGAGCUGCCCCGCGGGGGCUACCUAACCUGGCCCCCCCGGCAGGAGCCCGGCCAGGGCGCCACCACCUUCGCGGUGACCAGCGUGCUGCGCGUGACGGCCGAGUCCUGGAAGAACGGGGACAACUUCUCCUGCAUCGUGGGCCACGAGGCCCUGCCCCAGGCCUUCACGCAGAAGACCAUCGACCGCCUGGCGGGUAAACCCACCCACGUCAACGUGUCCGUGGUCAUGGCAGAGGUGGACGGCGUGUGCUACUGAGCCGCCCCGCCCGCCUGCCCCCUGAAUAAACUCCGAGCUCGCCCCACGCA